rnacentral:rRNA from 1 species
GGUGGAGCAUGUGGUUUAAUUCGAAGCAACGCGAAGAACCUUACCAGGUCUUGACAUCCUCUGACAAUCCUAGAGAUAGGACGUCCCCUUCGGGGGCAGAGUGACAGGUGGUGCAUGGUUGUCGUCAGCUCGUGUCGUGAGAUGUUGGGUUAAGUCCCGCAACGAGCGCAACCCUUGAUCUUAGUUGCCAGCAUUCAGUUGGGCACUCUAAGGUGACUGCCGGUGACAAACCGGAGGAAGGUGGGGAUGACGUCAAAUCAUCAUGCCCCUUAUGACCUGGGCUACACACGUGCUACAAUGGACAGAACAAAGGGCAGCGAAACCGCGAGGUUAAGCCAAUCCCACAAAUCUGUUCUCAGUUCGGAUCGCA